ACUCGUACUCACAAAUAUUUAUUUCAUCGAGGUAGUUUUCAGCAAAAGCGUGAACACAAAUAAGCGCUUAUUGGCCAAAAUAAACAGAUAAAGUUUCAUGAUUGAUACCCUGGAGAGAAAAGGAAGAAAGAUGAAUUGGUUCAAAAGUUCAACCAAAAAGAACAGAUCUAAUAUCUUGUUUUCCAGCAAUUACACUAUAGAAAGUGAUUGGCUGUCACUUUUAGAGCGAGAGAGAGAGAGAGAGAGAGAGAGAGAGAGAGAGAAUCUCCAAAUUGGAACACAUCUCUACAUUCGUAGUAUCAUCGAUAUUUUGUGAAUUUAAGAAGCAUCACAAUAAAAUUCUCGCAUAAAUACUCGCUGCUAAGCAAAUUACAUUUAAAACGUGGCGAUAGUUCUCUUAGAAAUACAAACAAAAAAAAUAAAUAUAUCAUAAAAAAUUAUUCUUAAAAUGCAAUAACAUUGAAAAAAAUCUUCAAUAUCUAUUCGGAAACAAUUUUACCUCUAUAAUAAAAUUCUCCUCUUGACAUUUUCCCCCACUGCUCCAUCUAUUUGCCAUGAAUAAAAUCGUAGAAUAAGGAAACAAAUAAAAA